GGGUGAUAUGAUGAUGGUUGAUUAGUUUCCCUAUUGGUUUGAUGGCUGAGAUGAUGGCUCCAAUUGUAUUAGCUCUAUCUGAUUCCUC